rnacentral:lncRNA from 1 species
UUCUUUUUAAAAAUAUUUAAAAUAUUCACUGUUAUUCUUUAAAACAAUUUAAUUGUCAUUAAUUUUUUUCGUUUUCACUUCACUAAUCAUAUCUUCACAAGCAUCAAAAACUCGUGCCGCGCCAUGAUUAGCAACAGCUUUUAAUUAUCUCUUACCUAAAAUCCACUAAAAGUCAAUUUCUCGAGUUAUUUUUUGCUAAUUAGAGAAUAAAAGAAUAAUAAAAAGCCUUUUUCGUUCGCGUUGCCGUUUAGAAUAAUCAAAAGUAAAGGUCGCGCGAUCUCUCGUUGGAACAUCAUCAAGUUUCGUAAUCGAUAAACCUUUUAGGGAGAUCGAUAUAAUCGUUAUUACGAUUCAGUUGCUUUUAAUUCCUCGAAAUUUCACUGAAAAUUAAUUUCAGUCAAUCAAAGCUGUAAAAGAUUCACAUUUAUACGAAUGCAUCGUCGAGGAAUAAAGAAAAAGAAAAAAAAAUCAGUCAGAUUUAUUGCUUUGGCUCCAGACAUCCGUAUUGAGUGUCAUUGGAGGCUAUUUCAACCGUGCUUCUUUUUUUUUAUCCCGAUUCUUUUUUACGACGUCUUGAAAAGUGGUGUAUAACUGCUGCACGAUGAUAUGAUAAAAAAAAAAAAAGAAGAAAAAUAAUAAUAUAACAAGAUUGCGCAAUUUUUAUUGCUUCUCUCUCGUCAUCAUGCAUUACAUGAACUUUCUUCCACUUUACGAUGAGGUCGCUUCCCCGCCAACAAAUUGCAAUGGCGGUUAUCGCGGUGUGAAGUGAAGUAACAAUACGACACAAUAAUUAACAAUACAAAUUUUACCCGAUGGUUCAUUCAAAUGUUUUUUUUUUCCACGCUUUAUUAAAUUUUCUCCAUGGUUCUUGCGGUUGCAAGAAAUAUUUAUGUUGCAUUUGAUUACGAGGUACUGGAAGAUAUCUUUAAGAGUGUAAUAAAAGAGAGCUUCUAAAGCUGAAUCGAAAGCGCAAUUUUCAGUUGAACAUAGUUUGUAAUGCUGAAUGUAGUUGUAAUGUACAUUCCCUCUUGAAAAAUUCAUAAUAACAGCGAACACUCUUGCAGCGAUAAACGGUAUCGUCCGAGGAUUUAAAGAUGCGUUAAAUGGAUUGUUUGAAUUGUUUUAUUAUUCCUGUUUUUAUCAACCAUGUGUAAGCCAAAGUGAAAUCUCGACGAAGCCUAAUAUCUCCUCGAAUUCGAUUGAAUGAAUUCUAGAUUUCUAUUAUUUGCUCGCGUGUUAUUGCGAAUCGAUAAUCAUGGAUAAGAAUUGAAUCAAUUAAAAUCAGAAAUUAUCAAUAUUGUUUUUUUUAUCCUCGAUUGCUUGCGUGUUAAGAAUUAGAAAUAAUAAAAAUACAGUAACAAUUAAAUGUAAAUAAUAAAUAUUUAAUUACGUAUACCAAAAAGUGUCUAGUUAAUAGAGAUAUACGUUAAUAACACGUCUUCUUUCAGUUGUGACAUUAAAACACGCAUAAGAUUUAUCAAUUUAUAUAAUCGAUGAUUGAUGAUUUGUUCCGUUACCAGGUUUCUACCCACUUGAAAUGCUACUUUACGCUUCACGAACCCUGUUCAGAGCGAAUCCUAUUCAAUCAGAUUAAUGAUAUCUCUGUACCGCUUCCGAUCUAUGAUUUCUCUUAUUCCAGUUGUAAUGCGAUGAUUUAUGCUUGGCAAAACGUAUGACAAUAAGACCGUUGUGUAACGAAAUACAAAUUGGCAUUGGACUGGCUACGAAUUGCUUGAUAAAAAGAUCGACUCCAAAGGAAAGAAAAAAAAAAAGCUUGCAUAAAAGUUUAUUUUGCAUAAAAUAUCCAUUCAUAGACAGUGUGAUUUUGGAACGAUGUGUGUUCGGAUCGAUCGAAUGGAAGAUUGAUGAUCCUAACAUCAUCGAUCACGAGAGAUGGACAAUCGCAUUAAAAAUAUUUCCGUGGAUGGAAAGUCGAUUCUACGUAUAAAAAUGUCGAAAAAAAAGCGUUCUUUGUUUUUAAGAAUAUCGAAUUUGGAUAAAUGUCACCUAAUUUCCAAUUUCUAAUCUCUGGAUAACGAGUGCAUCAUUAACAGAAUAUUAUUCACACGCGUGAAACUAAGCAAGAUAAAAGUGUCGAGUAAAAUUUUUUCGUUCUUAAAAUUUCUUUUUCUAAUUUUAAAUACUGGCCUGAUCAUUUUAUAUUAUUAUAUAGAAAACGAGAGCUCGAACAAAAAAAAAUUUGUCACUCGAAAUACCGUGACACACAUCACUUUCCUUCCUCUCGAACCCUUGCUCCGCUAUUCGAACGUCCCAUACGAACGAUGGCCGAAAGUAAAUGGUAUCUUUUCGCCCGACACGUUCGAGAAAUCAAUCGUGGAAUCAGAACCACGCGUAGUUUCACCCAUGAAUAAUAAUCGAACGAAUCGGAUGCUUAAAAAUGGUGGACGGGCGCGCAAUGGGCCGAGGUCGGCCUAAAUCAUCGUCAAAAGUGGCACGGUAUCCUGCUAGGACGUCCUUUCCCGCCUGAUCGAUGAUGUCAGAGCCGAGCUUCGUCGUCGUCGUCGUCCUUCCACCCACGAAAAGGGAAAGUGAGAGAAUCCCGAGGAGCUCCUCUUCUUCCCAAUGGGGGGGACGCGGAUGAAUCGCCUCUAUGCACCGAGAAAGGGGACAAUGGGAAAUCAAGGAUCGAGACCGAGUCAUUCACGGAAGAUGAUUGGAAGAUCCGUCCAAGUGUCAAGUCGUUGACAUCGUCAUCUUGACGAUGAACCUGAAUGAAGGAUGAGCGAAGAUUUCGUUGGGUCGAGAAAGAGGAGCGAAGAAAGUUUGAUGGAUCACCGUUAAGGUUGAUGGAGAGCGGAUGUUGGUCGUUGAUUGAAUACGAUUCUCAUUUUUAUUACCCGAUUUCAAUUCGUUUGUCGUUUUUCUUUUUAUUUUCUUUUUUUUUUUCUCUCUUUCGUGUAUUUCUUGAAUUAAUGUUAACUUUUAUUAGAAGAGAAGUUAAUUGAUUAAGGAAUUAAAAAGGAAAUUAAUAAUGGAGAAUAUAGGAAAUAGAUUUUUCUUUACUCGUUAUUGGAAGUCAAUUAUCAAUUAUAAGAGAAAUGUGAAUGAAGUUUUGAUUUAUUACUUUAUGCUCGGAAGAUUCGCAUCCCGCAAAAAGAUCAAGUUUUCAAUUAAAAGUUUUAAAGUAGCCAUCACAAAAUUAACAUUCAUUUAUCAAAUUUUUUUUUUCUUUUUCUCGAUGUCUAAAGAUUAUAAACGUUGUUAAACGUUGUUUUCAUUGCCUGCAAUUAAUUUCUAUUAAACAUUAACGCGCCGCCAUAAUAUCUAAAUUAUUCGUAAAUUGAUAGAUUUGAUCUUUUAACGGGGAAUUCUUGCUAAAAUAUAAUUACGAUAUCUUAAUAUCGUAUCACGUAUCAGGGAUUACAUCGCAAUCGGAAUGGCAUGCUUCGUCGGAUACAGAUUAUCGAAUUACGGAGAGAUGUUUAUCGAAUAGGGCAUCUGAAAUUACAGUGUGUGUUUCGUGUACACAAGUGUCUUCGCGAGAUUAAAGCGUGAAAAAAUUCGCAUUCGAUUGCAAAGCGAAGGAACGUGUGUAUACACGUGACAAGAUUGAUCCCCGAGAAAAGGAUUUUGCAUAUCGAUAGAAGGGAAUCUAUGAUCGAUUAAAAAUAAAAAUCACGUGUAUAUUAGUAUUGUAGGAAUUUAUUAGAACGAAAAGAGUAUUAGAAAUUCAUUUUUUUUUUUUUAUGAAAAAUAUCAUAAAAUUGUAGAAAUUGUAUUUCCACAUCUAUACACGGUAAUAUAGAUAAAUUUUUUUAUCGAUAAUUGGGAAUUACUUGUAUAUACGUUGAUAUUUUUUUUUCUUGUCUAUCUAUAAAUCUCCAUGUUGUAAAAUUUGUUUGGAUAUAUUUUGUUCGAGAUAAACAAGAUUCUGAUUUAUAUAUCAGAAUUAUUGAACGGUAAGUCAAAAAUUCUAUUUCGUAUACGUUUCAAUCAUGCGUUAUCAAACAUGCAGUAAGAAAAAUUGUACGAGCGUGUUGUACAAAAAUAACUUUAAAAUGUUAUCGAUAAAUAGUUAAAAUUUGAAAGAAAUUCGAAAGAAAAAUAUUCAAAUAUUUGGGAUAUUAAAUUCUCGAUGGGAUUUUUGCAAUUUGAUCCGAGACGAUCGGAAUGGAAAACGGAAGAAACGCGGUUAGUCGUAGUUCGUCGCUUGUUCUGAUAACACAAUCACGCUGCAUCGUAUAAAAUCAAACAUUCGCUAAUAACCAAGGUUUUUUGUGCACGCAGUAUCGCGAUUAAAAUUGCAGUCCGCUCGGUGGAAUAUAACACGAAAGCAACAUUUGAUAUCCUCGCCUCGCUGUUUCUAGUCGACGAGUCGAAAGCGAAAACGAAAAAUUUGAAAAUGAAAUAUGUUAGCGUUAAAUAAUAACGAAUUUUUGAUCGGAUCAAUCGUUCGUCGCGAUUACAAUCCUUCGAAUAUUUUAAAACGAUUUUUCUCGUUUCGUUUCAAACAAGUGAUUCGUUACUUUUAUAAUAAUUCGUCUUUUUAAAUCGUGUUUACGAGCCUCCGGCAUCUGAUGACUCCUUGAAAAUGGGAACGCAGAUUCUUGGACCAGAACAGCGAUACUAGGUGGUUCAAGAUGUUUCUAUAUAUACUGUUUCUCCACUUCCUAUAUCUGCAACCACAGCAGCUGUUUGAUGCCCAG